CUGGCACCGCUUUGCCAACCAAGAAGACGUCGCAUAGUUUUACUCGUUAGAUUGUUUAGGUAUAUAAAUGUUAAAUUUUAAAUGACUCUCUCCGAACUAACACCGACUCAUAAUUAUUUCUUUAUUUUUUAAGAUUAAAGAAAUAAUACACGAUUAUGUUUAAUAUAAUUAUUCAACUAUGGAUGCUUUUCGCGCGUUUAUUGUAACGCCAUCUGUGAUAGCGUUAUAUGAAAUAAUAUAAUAUUUGCCGCAUUUGCAGUCGCAAUUAAUCUCAUCAUGAAAAUAUAAUUAGAUGUUGUAUGGAGCAAUUAUUACUAGCGACUCGUAUUCUAACCAAACAAUUGACGACAUUCCAAGAACGUCAACUUUCUCUUGUAAUCAUAAAUAAUUGCAACGCAACGUUCAUACAAAGAGAAAACGAUGCAAUAAGAAGAGAUUCUCGAUAUAACCAUCAGCUAGAAGCUGAGUGGAGAGCCGUUCAGCCACAAAUUCAGCAUCGGUUUGGUGGUUUAUCGAGGCAAUUUACAAAUUGGCUUCCGUUCCAGCGUUUCUUAGGCGCCCAGAAAUGAUUAGACCUCGCUGGACGGGGCACCGUUUAUUCAAGCUUGCUUCUGCGAACGGCUUCUAUUAGUAUUUCUGGCCUCACUCCACCCUCGUUGGAUAGCAUAUGGUUAACCAAAAUCUUCUGAAUGCCCAUUAACAUAACGUCGAUACGCACCUGCUCGACGAAAAACGCAAAAUCGAAAGACGAGUA
rnacentral:misc_RNA from 1 species